rnacentral:rRNA from 1 species
UACAUAGGUCACAAGCGUUAUCCGGAAUUAUUGGGCGUAAAGGGUCUCUAGGUGGUAAAGCGGGUCUUUGGUAAAAGUCUCAAGCUUAACUUGAGUUUCGCCAAAGAAACUACUUUGCUCGAGGAUAGCAGGGGUAGACGGAAUUCCCGGUGUAGCAGUGAAAUGCGUUGAUAUCGGGAAGAACACCAAUGGCGCAGGCAGUCUACUAGGCUAUUCCUGACACUGAAGGAACGAAAGGCGUGGGGAGCGAACGGG